UCGCGAAAACUUUGCAAUACACGAAAGUGUGACAGGGCUAUCCCGAGUGCCAUCCGCUGAGGAAGGCUUUUACCCAGUCUAGAACGCUGGGGGAAUAAGGAGAGGGCAAGUCUGGUGUCAGCCGCCGCGGUAAUACCAGCUCUCCGAGUGGUGUGGAUGUUUAUUGGGCCUAAAGCAUCCGUAGCUGGCUGAGUUAGUCCCUUGUUAAAUCCACCGAAUUAAUCGUUGGAUUGCGGGGGAUACUGCUCGGCUAGGGGACGAGAGAGGCAGACGGUAUUUCCGGGGUAGGGGUGAAAUCCUAUAAUCCCGGGAAGACCACCAGUGGCGAAGGCUGUCUGCUAGAACGCGCCCGACGGUGAGGGAUGAAAGCUGGGGGAGCGAACCGGAUUAGAUACCCGGGUAGUCCCAGCUGUAAACGAUGCAGGCUAGGUGUUUGGACGGCCACGUGCCGUUCUAGUGCCGCAGGGAAGCUGUUAAGCCUGCCGCCUGGGGAGUACGAUCGCAAGAUUGAAACUUAAAGGAAUUGGCGGGGG
rnacentral:rRNA from 1 species